rnacentral:lncRNA from 1 species
UUAGGAUAAUCUGACCCAAAUUUGGAUCUUCGGGUUACUGCUGAGUUUGCUUAUUUCUUGAGGGCUACUUUAAGCAUGACUUGCCUGAAUCUGUCAUUCUACCCCUAUUAAAAAAGGCAACCCAUCUAACACAUUCUGAUCCUCCAAGUACAGUAUUAGUCAAAAUUUGGUUUCGUAGCCGCGAGUAAGUUCUACUGCAUGAGAAUUCAGCGGAUGAUGAUCGUCAUUGGCUGCAGCGGUUGUGAUAUAUUGCUUCUUCGCUCCCAGAAGGAAAUUUGGAUGUGGUCUGGAUGAAUCUGAAUGGAAUUGUGUAAAUUCUUGGCAUUUGGUUGAGUUUCUUCUGGUAUCUCUCUCACAUAUGAAUUAGAUAGCAUCGUAUGCUCCAUGUAAUGGCUUUUUGUUGUUUGUAAGAUUUUCAACUUAAGUGAAGAGAUUAAGUUCAUAUGUUACUGAUUUUCUGGUUUUAUUGUACAUUAUUGAUCUAUGUUCUGCAUCAGUUUUUAAACAAGAAGAUAUUUGACUGGCCUUGGUGCCAGAUUUAGCUACCUCAAUCCUGUAACCUAGAGUUAGAGUUAGAUUGACUACUGGGCUACUGGCUAAUCUACAAGAAUUUGAUUAUUUUUUUUCUGACUAAAAUAUUACUUUUAGCAGUGGUAUACGAAAAUUGCAAGCUCUGUUGGUUCAUGUAAUCUUGGUUGCCUAUCUACUGCAUAUAUUAGA